UGUUUUUCCGUGAGAUGCUUUCAAAUUGAUAGCUAUAUCGUAUGAAAUGAUCAAAUUAGACCAAAUACCUUUUAUCUUGAAAAUAUAUCGGUGGCGCAUUUUACACCUAGUUCCCCUAGAAUCAAAACACGCGAUUUGUACUCAGAGCAUUCGAAACGGCUGACAAUCGGAUCGGCUUGCUGUGUGUUUGCUUGGGUGUAGAGCGCGCGCCAACAAAGAUAUACAUUCAUGCCAGCCAAAACAUAGUCACCAGUGUGAAAAUCUGUUUCGUGCAGUGAAGAAAACAACCGAACUGUUUCAGUAGUGUCUCGACAACUUAUAGUGUGCCGCCUACUUGGAUAGACUAGUGAAGAAGAUAAUUGCCACCCAUCACCAUAUCGUCCGUCCUCAACGCGCGUGAAUCGUGACACAGCGCGUGAAUAAUUCUAAAAUUUGUGAUUCGGUGACAAAACAGUGCCUACUCAGUGAAGAGAAGAAGUUGUACAAAAUUCCGUGAACCAAAAGCAAAUCCGUCCAGUGAAAACUCCCAUUCGCAGUGGAAGCCAGUAAGA